CAAUAGUGUAUAUUAAAGUUGUUGCAGUUAAAAAGCUCGUAGUUGGAUUUCGGGGCAGCCUGGCUGGUCCGCCGCAAGGCGAGUACUGGUCAGCCGCCCUUCCUCUCGAAAGCCCCGACUGCUCUUCGUUGCAGUGGUCGGGUAGUUCGGGACGUUUACUUUGAAAAAAUUAGAGUGUUCAAGGCAGGCCUACGCCUGAAUACAUUAGCAUGGAAUAAUGGAAGAGGACCUCGGUCCUAUUUUGUUGGUUUCCAGGGCCGAAGUAAUGAUUAAGAGGGACAGUUGGGGGCAUUCGUAUUUAAUUGUCAGAGGUGAAAUUCUCGGAUUUAUGAAAGACGAACAACUGCGAAAGCAUUUGCCAAGGAUGUUUUCAUUAA
rnacentral:rRNA from 1 species